GGGUUGUGGCUCAGUGGUAGAGCGCUUGCCUUGCCUGCAUGAAGUGGGUUCAAUCCCUGGCACCA
rnacentral:tRNA from 1 species